CGUUCUAUGGCCGAAUUGGUAAAGGCAUCGCCGAUCACAGGCGAGAUUGCGGGUUCAAAUCCCGCUAGAACGA
rfam:Operophtera brumata OBRT01_Sc06095, whole genome shotgun sequence.